UACGUAGGGGGCGAGCGUUGUCCGGAUUUAUUGGGCGUAAAGCGCGGGCAGGCGGCCCCGUAAGUCGGCCGUGAAAGCGCCGGGCUCAACUCGGCGAGGACGGGCGAUACUGGCGGGCUCGAGGCUGGUAGAGGGCGGUGGAAUUCCGGGUGUAGUGGUGGAAUGCGUAGAGCUCCGGAGGAACACCAGUGGCGAAGGCGGCCGCCUGGGCCAGUCCUGACGCUGAGCCGCGAAAGCGUGGGGAGCGAUCCGG
rnacentral:rRNA from 1 species